UAUGCCUCGAGUAGCUCCACGCCGCAACGCCCUCCUCGACGCCACCCCUCUCCUCGAGGAGCCCCUCGAGUACCCGCGUUGUGGGUGCUCUAAGUUAGUCGAAAUUUUCUUCAAACCAAACAUUCACGGAUCAUACGGAAAUGCAGACUCAAGGAAAUAGCUUGGGAAUUUCAGACGCCGAGAGUUUCGAAACGAACCUCGCUAAGAAGCCCAAAGAGUGAGAAAUCCCCUCUUUCAUUCAUACAGCGCAAUCUACUUUGAAUUACCUAGAAAUAUCGAUUUAAGAAAAGAAUUAAAAGAAGAAGAAGAAGGAGCAGCUGUGACUUGCACAUUUUGAUUGACGUUUUGGCGUGAAGAAACUGAGUGAUUUAUCAUGGCCGGAAAAGAGGAAAAGAAGAAAUUAGAGAAAUGCUCUGUUUCAAAGAUUGCUACCAGCAAAGUUUUGUUAGCAAUGGAGGUCUCGGCUCUUCAUCUCGUGAGAGGUUCUUCUCGAGUUGCUCUAUUGAGACUAUGAAAGAAUAAUGAAGCUCGUGUAAACUGCUAACUACUAGAGAGAGAGGGCAAUGGCGCGUUCUGAAGGAAGAAGCUAGUUUAUAGCAACACUAGUUUCGUAGAAUCUGUUAGUCAGCUGGUUUGGUUAAGUAGAGUUGUAAUGGAUGGAUUGAAAUCUACAACCCCUCAUCUAAUGAUCUUUGGAUGGAAGAUGAUUGUGAUUUCUCUUGCCAUGAUCUAACUAACUAAUCUGUUUUAGUUGUUGAUUCUCUUGUUGGAUCUGAAAGUCUUCAUAUUUAGUGCUCGUUUGGUUCAAGUAAAGGAAUGGAAAGGGAAUGGAAUCAAAUAAAGGAGUGGAAUGGUACCAUGCUCGACAUAAUCAUGGGGAUCAAUGCUUGUGAGAGGGAGCACGCAGAGCGCCAGAUGAAGCUCUUGGAAGCGCAGAAUGCUGCAGCUGUCGAUGCUACUGCUGCUGAAUCUUGAUGCAGCUCCUCCUCCUUGGUCGAUUCCUCUACUGUCUGUUGCAAGUUGGUUUGACAUAUCCACUGAUUGCCAUUCUCAAGUUCAAUAAUGGAACUUGCUCUCCUCUCUCUCUCUCUUGUUUGCAUAACUUCUCUGUAUCUUAGGGAGCUGAGACUUUUUUUAUGUGCAGAAACUCAAUUAAGUUGAUGCAUCAUUUUAUCAUUUUCCUGUGGUGAUCAUUCUUGGAGUAUUAUUUAGUAUGGAUUAUCUAUACAAAUUACUCACUCA